rnacentral:lncRNA from 1 species
UUCAAAUUAAGUUGAAUUUCUGUACAUGGAUUUAAAAAUCAUAGACCAAAAUGAUAUACUAAAACAAAAGAAAAGAUAACAUCUCAUUUGUUACCAAAAAAAGAAGGAAAAAAAGAUAACAUCUCAAAAUACAAUUUGACGCCUCUGCAAACCCUUGAUUUGAGCUCUUACAAUCUCUUCAGUUCUUGGCCUAGUUCUCCUGAAUAGAAGCACAAGAAAUAUGAUUCAAAUCAUAGAACUUAGAUAGAAAAGAAAUGUGAGACUUAAUUCCAGAAUAUUUUUGAGAACUGGCGUAGGUUUAUGAGAGCUGGCAUAACAACUUACGACAGUAUUUUCUAUGCAAUCAUUCAGCUGAAAAGGAAGUUAUAAUUUUUUUAAUAUAAAUGAUAACUCACACAUAUUCCUGGAACCUUCAAAUCCGCAUGAGAUGCAAAAAAACCCAGAGGGUUUAUCCCUUCUUAUGCGCCAGACCUGGGUGAAAAAAAAAUCCAAACAAAACUCAGGUCUGUUGUCUACUUGUCAGCAGUAUGUAUGUGUAAGACUUUCAGAAUUUCUCAACAACAAAAAAAAAGAGAGAGAAGGGAGCCAAAAAAAAAAAGACAUAGCUUCAUCUUAUAUAUGAAACUUAAAACCAAAAACUCAAACGGUAAGAAGCAUCAGGUAGAAGAAAAUCUUAAUAGUUUAAAUCGAUACAUACUCUAGUAAAAGAUAUCGAACCUUGUUAUAAUAUGGAAGUUCUAAGUGAUCGGUAACAGUUUCUGGACUCUCAGCACAGGCCAA